rnacentral:sRNA from 1 species
UCGUACCCGAUGUUCCACAAGAGGGGUC